UUCUUUUAUUAAAACACACAUAUACCGACACUUGUUAUCGGGGUGUCCAAGCUAACUCGCGUUGGCAAGGAUCGAUACAAGGGGUAUAUGGAGGCCUAAC
rnacentral:sRNA from 1 species